CACAACAGAAAAUAUGAUAAGGCUAUUGGCAUUCGCGGACCGGCUGAAAUAUUUUUAUUUCACCCAUGUCUUAUUGCGCACUUGUUUGUUUCCAUGGGCGGGUUCGCCCGCCACCAGGACCAAACCAUAAACCUUUUUUGUAUAUGCAGUGCAAUCAGCGUCAUGAAAAAUAUAAUAUAUUAUA
rnacentral:misc_RNA from 1 species